GCAGAUUUUAAGCUAUCUCCAC
rnacentral:miRNA from 2 species